GGCCAGGUCGCCACACGUCUGUGACCUGGGCAGUUGCUGACGACGAACCCACCCGAACGCACUCCCCGAGACCGGAAAGCGGAAGGUCGCCGGUUCGACCCCGGCCCUGGCCA
rnacentral:tRNA from 1 species